GGGAUACAUUUGUAAAUCGUUGCAGAACAUUGUAAACUUGGAUUAGAAAAGCAAUAAAACAAAAAGGCGGUUGAAUUUGAAGUGCAUGGGUUAAAAAGCACGUUGAUAGAUCUAGUAGCACAAGCUAAGAGAAGAGGAGAAAGAAUUUGGUCUAAAUACGAUAUCGUCAUUCGAUGACAAUGUUAAAAACUAAAUACGAUAAUUUCUCAUUGUGUCUUCAUAAUUUGGAUGAAAGGAAAUGAAGAAUGGUUUUUUGGUCUAAAUACGAGAGUAUCAAAUGAAGAAUGGUAGGAGAGAACGCAUUCUUCAUUUUAAAGAUUCGGACAACGAUUCUGAAAGAAUGAAGGUAUUUGUUGGCGAAGCUCUAAGCCUCUAGCCAGA